rnacentral:lncRNA from 10 species
GUGAGUGUGGACGCCACUGGCGGGGGUGCCGCGGUGCGCGAGCGCUCGGCCAGCGGCAGAGACGCCGCGGGAGCCGCCCCCAGCGCCAACGCCGCCGCGGGCGGGAAGGGCGAGGCUCGGCGAGGCUGGGCGAGGAGCUGGGCGGCAGACGCUGAGCGGGGCGCGGCGCGGGGCGCCGGACGAGCGCGGGCGUAGGAGGAGCGCGGGCGUAGGAGUCGGCGACCCGCUCGCUCCCGCGGCCGGUGCCUCUGGGCUGGGGGCCGGGCUGGGGGCCGGGCCGGGCCGGGCCGGGCCGGGCGGCCAGGCGGCUCCGCCCCUUCGCCGGGCAGCGGCUGAGCGCGCGAGAGGAGCGGCGCGGGGGCGCCCCCCUCGGCCGGGCGCUCGGGUUUCAGCCGCCGCUCCUCCGCGCCCCGCCCGCGCCUGGCCCGCUCGCCGGCGCCGGGAGAGACCUCGUAACGGAACUGGGACGCCAGCGCUGCAUUGUGGGAGCUUUUAAAGCGGCGGGGAGCUCGGCGCGACCCUCGGGCCCACCGGGCCACGCUCGCCCGGCCCGCGACGCCCCCCCGCUGUCGCCUGGCCCGCGACGCACCGAGGCCUGAGGACCCGAAAGCCGGGCGCGGGGAGAUGACCGGUGGCUCGUGACGGUCCCACGGGCAAAAUCUUCCAUCGCCCGGGGCUGAGACUUGUCAAACUGCCCUCUACGGUCACCCGGAAAGUAGGAGGCUUUUUCUGCAGAGGGGAAAAAAAUCAAAAAGAGCCGUUCCAUCCCCCCUCCAAGGACUGGGUUUGAAUUGCUUUUCAUCUGCAGUGGCUGUGAUUCAGCGUCCCUCUUAGCAGCAGGCAAUGACAGAGGCAGGAGAGGGGAAAAAAAAAAAGAAAGAAAGAAAAAACACAGCAAAUGAAUCAAACGGACCAGGUAGCAGGCAAGAGUGUGGUUAUCGUUGGACCAGGAUUCAGGAUCUGACUGAGUAGCUGACUCUUAAUCCAGUUUGUGUUGAUCACCAGGAGGAUCUGGACCUCAGUAUUACCACAUCUAGAGCUAUAAUCACAUCCCUGUUAAGCCUUCCUGAGAUCACACCAAAUGUCCUUGAUGGGAAUUGUAAACAACCCUUACUUCUGGUUUCUAAUGAUAUUCCAGGAAAGGAGCCUAACUAGAGUCAGUGAUAUGCCAACUCCACCUUUGCCUUCCACCAUGUUUGGAAGCUCCCUGAGGCCUCACCAGGAGCAGAUGCUCGUCCCAUGCUUCCUAUAAGCCUGCAGAACUGGAAAAGAAAGCUGGAUAAAGUAUUUAUAGAAGAUAGAGGACCUGUGGUGGCUCAUGCCUGUAAUCCAAGGUGGAAGGAUUGCUUGAGGCCAGAAGUUCAAGACCAGUCCAAGCAACAUAGCAAGGCCCCAUCUCUACAAAAAAUGAAAAUAAAAUUAGCCGAGCGUGAUGGCUCAUGCCUGUAGUUCUAGCUUCUAGAGAGGCUGAGGCAGGAGGAUUGCUUGAGUCCAGGAGUUCAAGAUUACAGUGAGCUAUGGUCACACCACUGCACUCCAGCCUGGGUGAUGGAGUGAGACUGUCUCAAUAAAAAGACAAAAAGGCUGGCCAGGGGCAGUGGUUCAUGCCUGUAAACCCAGCACUUUGGGAGGCAAAGGCAGGAGGAUUGCUUAAGCCCAGGAAUUUGAGAUCAGCCUGGACAACAUGGUCAAGGAAGCUUUUCCUGAUCCACUAACUAAGGACAAUCAAACCCUUCAUGAUCUAGAAUCUGGAGACUGUGUCUUCUGGGAAUAGUAUCAGAGAAAGACUGCCCUUACUGCCCACAUGUAGCAAAACUUUGAGACGUUGAAUUAUGGGUCCAUAAUCUCACAACUCAGAGGGGCACCUCUAGACUCUUGGAACUGUAUAUCUAUUGGAGACUUUAAGGUAAAGCUGAACAGAGAGACGUUUUUCUCCAGAAGCAGACAGCACCAUAGUCAUGGACAGCUUUCCCAAGAUCACAGAUCAAGACUUCUCUGCCGUCAUGAGACUCAUAACCUCUUAAUUUUUUCUUGCUUAUGCUUCUGUGAACAAUAGAAUUGGAAAAGGGGUGGUCCCGCGUGCACCCAUAGGGUAUACUUUUAUUUGUGGAGGAUUUUGCUGCCAACCUUAUACAUGGGCAAACUUAUGCCUUCAUGGAUGGAAGAUAAAGGGCUAAUAUGGGUUAGAAAUUUUAAUGGUACCUUUGUUUCUCCAUAAUCAUUCAGAAACAGAACACUGGUCCACUCUUGUUAACCUACAUCAUAGGUUGAAGAGAACAUUGCCAGGAGGCCUUCAUCCUUCCAGAUGGGCACCAUUUGUUGGGUCUUUUUCCGUGGUAUGAAGAAAAUGAAGCAAUGAUUAGAAAUUGGUCCCUCGGCCGGGCACAAUGGCUCAUGCCUGUAAUCCCAUCACUUUGGCAGGCCGAGGCGGGUGGAUCACCUGAGGUCAGGAGUUUGAGACCAGCCUGACCAAUGUGGUGAAACGCCAUCUCUACUAAAAAUACAAAAAUUAGCUGGGUGUGAUGGUGCACACCUGUAAUCCAGCUACUCGGGAGGCUGAGACAGGAGAAUUGCUUGAACCUGGGAGGCAGAGGUUGCAGUGAGCCAAGAUCACCCCACUGCAUUCCAGGUUGGGCAACAGAGCAAGACUCUGUCUCAAAAAAAAAAGAAGAAAGAAAGAAAUUGAUCCCUCAUAAUAGGCUGUAUAGCAGAUUCUACUGCAAAGGCUAUGGUUGCACAACAGACUUCUUUGAAUUUGCUUGCUAAACUUUUACUGGAUAAUACUGGGAUUACAGGUGUGAGCCACUGUGCCCAGCCUCUCCUGUUUAACUGUAUUCAUUCUAAUGUUUACUUACUUCUUUAAUUUGUAAAAUUGGGUCACUUAGAGUUUUUUUAGCCUAUCUUGCCAUUUAGCCACUGUUACUGAUAAUUUGGAUGGAAAAGAAAAAUAAAUUAUAUCACCUCUCAUCUUCAGUGUAUAUAUGUGUUAACUUAGUAAAUAUAGUAUUCUUUCUCGUUCCUAAUGAAAAUUUAGUUUACGUACUGAAACACUGCAAACUUUUAUAAAUAUUGUGAUGUAUUUGACCAAUACAAAGGAUCUUUUUAGAAACAGCAAACAGUUCUCAGAUUAUAGGAAUUACUCAUUUAAUGAUAGUUUCUUCUU